UGAGGAAUUUUCCGCAAUGGACGCAAGUCUGACGGAGCAACGCCGCGUGCAGGACGAAGGUCUUCGGAUCGUAAACUGCUUUUAUCAGGGAAGAGAAUGGACGGUACCUGAUGAAUAAGCCCCGGCUAACUACGUGCCAGCAGCCGCGGUAAUACGUAGGGGGCGAGCGUUGUCCGGAUUUAUUGGGCGUAAAGGGCACGCAGGCGGUCCAUUAAGUUCAGGGUGACAGUCAUCAGCUUAACUGAUGAAGUGCCUUGAAAACUGGUGGACUUGAGAGCGAGAGAGGGACACGGAACUCCGGGUGGAGCAGUGAAAUGCGUAGAGAUCCGGAAGAACACCAAAGGCGAAGGCAGUGUCCUGGCUCGUUUCUGACGCUCAGGUGCGAAAGCGAGGGGAACGAAC
rnacentral:rRNA from 1 species